rnacentral:rRNA from 1 species
UGGGGAAUAUUGGACAAUGGGCGAAAGCCUGAUCCAGCCAUGCCGCGUGUGUGAAGAAGGUCUUCGGAUUAUAAAGCACUUUAAGUUGGGAGGAAGGGCAUUAACCUAAUACGUUAGUGUUUUGACGUUACCGACAGAAUAAGCACCGGCUAACUCUGUGCCAGCAGCCGCGGUAAUACAGAGGGUGAAAGCGUUAAUCGGAAUUACUGGGCGUAAAGCGCGCGUAGGUGGUUUGUUAAGUUGGAUGUGAAAUCCCCGGGCUCAACCUGGGAACUGCAUUCAAAACUGACUGACUAGAGUAUGGUAGAGGGUGGUGGAAUUUCCUGUGUAGCGGUGAAAUGCGUAGAUAUAGGAAGGAACACCAGUGGCGAAGGCGACCACCUGGACUAAUACUGACACUGAGGUGCGAAAGCGUGGGGAGCAAACA